rnacentral:rRNA from 1 species
AGUGAACGCUGGCGGUAGGCCUAACACAUGCAAGUCGAACGGCAGCACAGUAAGAGCUUGCUCUUACGGGUGGUGAGUGGCGGACGGGUGAGGAAUACAUCGGAAUCUACUUUUUCGUGGGGGAUAACGUAGGGAAACUUACGCUAAUACCGCAUACGACCUACGGGUGAAAGCAGGGGAUCUUCGGACCUUGCGCGAUUGAAUGAGCCGAUGUCGGAUUAGCUAGUUGGCGGGGUAAAGGCCCACCAAGGCGACGAUCCGUAGCUGGUCUGAGAGGAUGAUCAGCCACACUGGAACUGAGACACGGUCCAGACUCCUACGGGAGGCAGCAGUGGGGAAUAUUGGACAAUGGGCGCAAGCCUGAUCCAGCCAUACCGCGUGGGUGAAGAAGGCCUUCGGGUUGUAAAGCCCUUUUGUUGGGAAAGAAAAGCAGCAGGUUAAUACCCUGCUGUUCUGACGGUACCCAAAGAAUAAGCACCGGCUAACUUCGUG